AGUGAACGCUGGCGGUAGGCCUAACACAUGCAAGUCGAACGGCAGCACAGUAAGAGCUUGCUCUUACGGGUGGCGAGUGGCGGACGGGUGAGGAAUACAUCGGAAUCUACUUUUUCGUGGGGGAUAACGUAGGGAAACUUACGCUAAUACCGCAUACGACCUACGGGUGAAAGCAGGGGAUCUUCGGACCUUGCGCGAUUGAAUGAGCCGAUGUCGGAUUAGCUAGUUGGCGGGGUAAAGGCCCACCAAGGCGACGAUCCGUAGCUGGUCUGAGAGGAUGAUCAGCCACACGGGAACUGAGACACGGUCCAGACUCCUACGGGAGGCAGCAGUGGGGAAUAUUGGACAAUGGGCGCAAGCCUGAUCCAGCCAUACCGCGUGGGUGAAGAAGGCCUUCGGGUUGUAAAGCCCUUUUGUUGGGAAAGAAAAGCAGCAGGUUAAUACCCCGCUGUUCUGACGGUACCCAAAGAAUAAGCGCCGGCUAACUUCGUG
rnacentral:rRNA from 1 species